rnacentral:rRNA from 1 species
CGUAGCUAACGCGUGAAGUUGACCGCCUGGGGAGUACGGUCGCAAGAUUAAAACUCAAAGGAAUUGANCGGGGACCCGCACAAGCGGUGGAUGAUGUGGAUUAAUUCGAUGCAACGCGAAAAACCUUACCUACCCUUGACAUGUACGGAAUCCUGCUGAGAGGUGGGAGUGCCCGAAAGGGAGCCGUAACACAGGUGCUGCAUGGCUGUCGUCAGCUCGUGUCGUGAGAUGUUGGGUUAAGUCCCGCAACGAGCGCAACCCUUGUCCCUAGUUGCUACGCAAGAGCACUNCCAGGGAGACUGACCGGUGACAAACCGGAGGAAGGUGGGGAUGACGUCAAGUCCUCAUGGCCCUUAUGGGUAGGGCUUCACAGCGUCAUACAAUGGUCGGAAGCAGAGGGUCGCCAACCCGCCGAGGGGGAGCCAAUCCCAGAAAACCGAUCGUAGUCCGGAUCGCAGCUCUGCAAACUCGAGUGCGUGAAGUCUGGAAAUCGCUAGUAAUCGCGGAUCAGCAUG